GGGCACGGGCUGCGGGUGAUGACGGGGCCCUGCGUGGUGUCUCUUUGCCGAGGAGAUUUCUGUGCGGGUCGCUUGGAGUCUUGUUUGAUGGCUCUUUCCCCACGCCUCCCCCGCUUCUUCUUCAGCCCGGGCGAGCAGGAGCGCAGCGGGGCGAGGGAGCGAUGCAGAAAUGGAGGAGGCAGGCGGGGCAGGGGCAGGGUCACGGCGGGUUCAGAGUCCCGCACACCGGGUUUAGGGUCUCACGCUACUGCCUGUGCAGGGACGGGGCAGGAACUCUGGUGGCUCCUAAAGACUCCCGCUUUCCCUUCCCGGGAGCAGUGGGGCGUGGUGAGGAUGUCUGAGAGGGGAGGAAGAUUAAAGGGCCUUGUGAUGUCACCGUUGUUAUAAGUUCAUAUUAUAUUAUUCGUUUUUCGCAAAUAUUAAAACGAAUACUAAAUGUAUAAUGUUGGAAAACUUUCCUGUAUGAAUAUAGUUUCUUUUAGUUCUGCUGUUAACAAAGCUUAGAAAUAGUACUAUGAUAAAUACCUAUUUUUCUUGGACUAUAGCAUGGUGAUGUAAAAAGCUUUUGUUCACAUAAUUAACUCAGAGAAUGGUAAAAAAAGAAGAUAUUCAGGAAAUUCUUCACAUUCUUGGAUUAUCCUGUCUCAAUGAAUACAGGAGUGAUGAACACUAGAACUCUAGGAAAGGAAUUUAUUGAUCUCCAUUAUCUGGGAAUGCACUAACAAGAAGGAGAAUGAGCCACAAGCAGAAAAAAAAAUUAAAAUAAAAAGUUUUAAAAAGCUGAUUUACGGGUUGAAUAAUGCAUGAAGUUCUAUGAAUAUGCAACAUGUUUAUUCAUUUAAGGAAGUGAUUUCUGAGUUAGUGUGUGCUCUUGGCUGAAUGUCAAGCACCUGACCUUUAUAACCUUUUGCUUUAUUGUUUGUCUCUUAUUGUCUUUUAUUAAAUGUUUUGAAAUUUACUAGGAAGGUGAACCUUACUUUUCACACCAUGGAGUACCUGUGACUGCUCCUGACCUCUCUUUAGCAGCCCAGAUUCUUCUAGGAUGUGACCACGGAGUGCCUGUCACUGCCAGGGACCUCCUGGCUCCUUAGAAGCCCCAGAGAGCCCUGUGAUGUCACGGUGGUAGCCUUUCUUCGACACCCCUGGAAUGUCACUGUAGAGUACCUGUGAGUGCCUGUGACAUAACAGCUGCUUAGCAGCAUGGAGACACUUGUGGUAUUGCCAUUGAGACCCUGUGACAGCCUGUGAGGUCAGUGUGGUUUGGCAAAUGAGAGACUCCUGGAAUGUCACCAAGGAGUCCUUGGGAUUGCACAUGACCUCAGUGUUCUUUAGGAUCAUAGAGACGACUGGGAUGUAACCAUGGAACCUCAGUGAGUGCCUGUGCCAAAUGGGCUCCUUGGCAUGUAGAGACACCUCUGUUGUCCUCUGGUGACUGCUUGGGACCUCACAAGUCUUUGGAAGAUGAAAGAGGUCUGGCACAUCACCAUGGAGUCACUGUGGCCUCAUGUGACCUCAGUGCUCUUCAGCAGACCAGAGAGACUUGCGAUGUCACCAUGGACACCCUGUGCCUGUUUGUGAUCUCUCUCCUUUUGAACAGGCUGGAGACAGCUCUGAUGUCACCAUGGACUGCAGUGGGUACUGGUGGUUCAGGGAGGUGAGGGCAGGGGAAGGAACGUGGCAGGUCUCGCUGGGAGCCACUCUGGCACUCAGUUAGCAGGGACAGCACCAGAGCCCAGACCUGGGAAACAUUUGUGUCCCCCACGAGCCAAGUCUGAUCACAGGUGUGUCCUCUGCUGGGAUGGGAGGCCUGUUGUCACACUGGAACAGGGGACCAGGUGUACCCCAUGUCCCCAGCAUGCCAACUCUGGUCACAGAAGGCCAGCUCUACCCACUGGGCUCUCACACAUGGUCUGCCUGCCACCAGCAUGGGAGGCUUUCUCUCCUCACCCAGGAGGCCCGGUCUGCUUACCAAAAUGACCAGAGUAGUGGUAUGAAUGGCCAGAAUGCCAACAGGAGAUCACCCCACUGCCGAGUGUGCACCAGGCUCAGCAGGGUCUUCUUUCCCCUCCUGAUUCUGCCAAGCCUCUUCCCUUGGCUGUGGUUCACUGGAUAGCAGGUUGGGACUGUGGGAAUCUUGUUCAUCCAUUCAUGCACGUGACUAAUGAUGAGGUAUUUGGCUGUUUAUCUGUUCUGGGAGAAAACCUCCAAAGAGUCCCCCCCAGGAAGCAAACCCAAGUGGCCCCUUCCCCAACCGAGAAAAAAUUUCUUUGGAGAGAAGUGUAAAAAACUUGUUUAUUCAAGAGGCAAAGCACUGCCCAGCACAAAGAAUUUACAAUACCAAACAACAAAACCUCUUGCUGCUCUGAAGAGAUGAUACAUUCAGAAAGUCUCUCUCCUGUGGGUGGUAGCUGGGCUCAGUCUUUUCUCAGUCCCUCCAGCGCUGGAAAAUGCCACUGCCCAGGCCAGGCCCCAGUGGGCCACAGGUGCAGGACAUAACGGCCAUAGCUGCACUCACUUUGCCACUGCGGUCCUUUGCCUAGAGUGGGUUACACUCUGCGAGCAGAAGGCCUUAGAUAUGGCUUGAGCUGUUGCUCCAUGGCCUUUUGGCUUCAGAUUGUGUUUGAAGGAGGCGAGGAGGAGGGGGAGGUCUUUUGCAUAGGAUAAAAAGGAUUUAUUACUUUGGGGAAUCUGGGGGGCAAAAGACAAAAAUGGCAAAGGUACAACAACUUAAAUAUGGGGGAGAUUCAAGGGGAAGGUACAAUUUACUAGAAAAUUGGAGAAAUUCUGAGGAGUGGUAUAGGGCA